UUAUCAGCAGCAUCGACUCUGUCGACUAAAGUUCUAGAUAGAAUUUGAUAAUGACAUUUUCUAUCUAUGUGUCUUGACCAAAUCACGUGCCAGCAGUCGCGGUAAUACGUGGAAGACUAGUGUUAUUCAUCUUUAAUUGGUUUAAAGGGUACCUAGACGAUUUGUUAAGCCAGGGUACUGACAAACUAGAGUUUAUGCGAGGGGGGGUGUAAUCAUGGAGUAGAGAUGAAAUUUUAUUAUACCAGUAUGACAGGCAACGGCGAAAGCGACCCUUUAUGUAAAACUGACGUUGAAGGACGAAGGCUCGAUACACCAAAAGGAUUAGUUACCCUAGCAGUCUGAGCAGAAAAUGAUGAAUGUCAUAGGUAAGAAUUGCCUAUAAAUGAAAGUGUAAGCAUUCCACCUCAAGAGUAAUGCGGCAACGCAUAAACUGAAAUCAUUAGACCGUUUCUGAAACCAGUAGUGAAGUAUGUUGUUUAAUUUGAUGGUCCGCAAAGAACCUUACCACAAUUUGUAUAUUUAUUUAUACUAAAUACAAGAGUUGCACGGCUGUCUUCAGUUAAUGUCGUGAGAUUUUGGUUAGUUCCAUUAAAUUAACGUAAACCCUUACUUUAUUUUAAUAUGAAGUACAUAAUCGCUACAGUAGUAAGGUAACAGGGAAUAAGACAAGCCAUCAUGGCCUGAAUAUUGUGGGCUAUAGACGUGCCACAUAAGCCUACAAAGGGACGCGAAGUUGU
rnacentral:rRNA from 1 species